AUUGAACGCUGGCGGCAGGCCUAACACAUGCAAGUCGAGCGGAUGAAGGGAGCUUGCUCCUGGAUUCAGCGGCGGACGGGUGAGUAAUGCCUAGGAAUCUGCCUGGUAUUGGGUGAUAACGUCCGGAAACGGGCGCUAAUACCGCAUACGUCCUGAGGGAGAAAGUGGGGGAUCUUCGGACCUCACGCUAUCAGAUGAGCCUAGGUCGGGUUAGCUAGUUGGUGGGGUAAAGGCCUACCAAGGCGACGAUCCGUAACUGGUCUGAGAGGAUGAGCAGUCACACUGGAACUGAGCCACGGCACAGACUCCUACGGGAGGCCGCAGUGGGGAAUAUUGGCAAAUGGGGGAAAGCUUGAUCAAGCCAUGCCGGGUGUGUGAAGAAGGUCCUCGGAUUGUAAAGCACUUUAAGUUGGGAGGAAGGGCAGUAAGUUAAUACCUUGCUGUUUUGCCGUUACCAACAGAAUAAGAACCGGUUACUUCCGU
rnacentral:rRNA from 1 species